UACGAAGGGGGCUAGCGUUGCUCGGAAUUACUGGGCGUAAAGCGCACGUAGGCGGAUUGUUAAGUCGGGGGUGAAAUCCCAGAGCUCAACUCUGGAACUGCCUUUGAUACUGUCGAUCUAGAGUAUGGAAGAGGUGAGUGGAAUUCCGAGUGUAGAGGUGAAAUUCGUAGAUAUUCGGAGGAACACCAGUGGCGAAGGCGGCUCACUGGUCCAUUACUGACGCUGAGGUGCGAAAGCGUGGGGAGCAAACAGG
rnacentral:rRNA from 1 species